rnacentral:rRNA from 1 species
UACAAUAUCAAGUUGGGGAAGUCAAUCAAUUGUCUCACAAGACACAGCAGAGGAACUACCUCUGCUGAUUAACGCUCUACCUUGGUAUCAAACAAACCGCUCCGUAGGUGAACCUGCGGAGGGAUCAUUACAGAGUUCAUGCCCCUGACGGGGUAGAUCUCCCACCCUGUGUUGUUAUUACUCUGUUGCUUGGGCGGGACGUUGAGGUUCCCCUUUCCACUGGCUCCGGCGAGUGUGUGCCCGCCAGAGGACCCCAAACUCUAAAUGUUAGUGUUGUUUGAGUACUAUACAAAUAGUGAAAACUUUCAACAACGGAUCUUUUGGUUUUGGCAUCGAUGAAGAACGCAGCGAAAUGCGAUAAGUAAUGUGAAUUGCAGAAUUUAGUGAAUCAUUGAAUCUUUGAACGCACCUUGCGCCCCUUGGUAUUCCGGGGGGCAUGCCUGUUCGAGCGUCAUUACAACACUCAAGCCUAGCUUGGUAUUGGGCUCUCGCCGUUCACCCGGCGGGCCUUAAAAUCAGUGGCGGUGCCGUCGUGGCCCUGAGCGCAGUAAACAUCCUCGCUACAGGGACCUGGUGGUCGCUAGCCAGCCAACCCCCAACUUCUCAAGUUUGACCUCGGAUCAGGUAGGGAUACCCGCUGAACUUAAGC